rnacentral:misc_RNA from 1 species
UCCGAGUUGACCCCGGCAGUCUCCCAUGAGUCCCCGCCAUAACGCGCUGGCAACAUGGAACGAGGGUUGCGCUCGUUGCGGGACUUAACCCAACAUCUCACGACACGAGCUGACGACAACCAUGCACCACCUGUCCACCGACCCCGAAGGGAAACCCCAUCUCUGAGGCGGUCCGGUGAAUGUCAAGCCUUGGUAAGGUUCUUCGCGUUGCGUCGAAUUAAGCAACAUGCUCCGCCGCUUGUGCGGGCCCCCGUCAAUUCCUUUGAGUUUUAGUCUUGCGACCGUACUUCCCAGGCGGAGAACUUAAUGCGUUAGCUACGGCACCGCGGGGGUCAACACCCACGGCACCUAGUUCUCAUCGUUUACGGCGUGGACUAC